rnacentral:lncRNA from 1 species
UACUUUUUUUACUUUCUUUUUUUUGCUUUUGGUUUGAAGUAGGGGUACAAUUAUUUUGGAAGAGCUUGUGAAAAUUGAAGUAUUAGGAGGGUAAUAUGACUAAAUUGGAUACUAUGCUAAGGGUAGAUGAAUUUAAUCCAUGAAGAGCUGGAAAAGAAAGUAAUAGUAGGCCUCGGAGUUGUAGCUUUAAUGGUCUGGAUAGCGCGGCUUCUCUAGAAGUUGGUAUUAUAAAAUAUAAGAGAAAGACUCAAUAGGUGGUUCUUUUAUUAAGGGAAAAAUUUAUUCAGUUCGUCCUCAGUUAAGGUGAAUUGAAUGUCUAUAUAACAACCUUUACCUGAAGUAGUAGGGGAAGAAGGGAGGGAGAAAGCAAUGGUAUCAUGCUAUCUGUUUCUGGGGUGCAAUGUUUCUUAUUGUACUAACGAUGCACUGCCUGCUUCUGUGUUACCCUUAAAACUGAAAAUCGAAGAGGCCUAAGUACAUUUUCGUACUGAAGAAAAGAUGGUUUGAUAGUUCCUUCACGAUGGCCUUUUCACUUUGGUAAAAGUCGGGAAAAGUUUGGCUAACUUCACCUUUUCUCCUUUUUAGUUUAGAUUGUCAAGGGGAUUUGUCUUUGCUUUACGCAUUUUUUAACUUUUAACUAUAUUUCCUUCCAAGAUGAAAAUAACUGAAUUGCAUUAACCUUCCUGAUUCAAAGUAAAGAAAGCUUAUGCCAUUCGAAUUAGAUUUGCAAGGCAUCAAAAGAAAUGAAAUCUGUAAGAGAAUAUUGUACGGUUAAGGAUUGAGAAUAUUGCGUAACUUGAAAUUUAACGGAUGAUUUUCAAUUUUCCGAUCUGUUUAAGGGCAGUGUCAUUUCUAUAUGCAAAGUUUUGGGUGCUCUAUUCAUAUAGGUCAGAGUGCCUCUCUUCUUCUUCUUCCUUUUUUUUUUUUUUUUUUUUAAUUCAAUGUAGGUUUCAACUCGAGUAGACCUCUCUUCCUGUGCCAAAUUGGAUUAAUUGGAAGUUGGGAGCCUAAUUUCUGUCUGUGACAUCUGUUUAAUCUAUUUCAAGAUUUGUAAUGUAUGAACAUGUACUAAUAAAGUACGUUUUGUUAUAUUGGCAGGUGUGAGAAGUAAACUUGUGGUUCAACUCCCUCGGAAGAAUUUAAUCAAGCGAGAAGAGUGCCAUGGCUAUGUUGCUCCAGUGAGUUUGCCUAAUGACUGGACUUACUGAGCUUUAUUUCUCUGGCUGUAGGAUGAUGUAGAGGAAACUCCUAUUUAUGUUGGAAUUAAAUAAAAAUAAGAGCUUCAAGAAUAAGAAGAAUCCAACAAACAUCAUUUGGAUUUAUAUUGUGUGGAUCUAGAGAAUUGGUUUGAUUUAUUUUAUUUUAUUUUUGUGCAAUAUUUUGCGGACGCUAAAUCUUUAAUUUGAAAGGUUGUUAACGGAAUGGUGAAUUGUCAUGAACUUGAUGUGCUUCUCAUAUAGAUGCAACUCAUUUCCAUUGACAUCGGUGCCAUUUAUGGACGAUCAUUUUGAAAUUCGAUCGACUAUCAUUUUGCUAGAGCUCAAGUUGUCUUGGUUCCUCACUUCCUCUGUUUCUAUCCAUUAAUCAUUGAUUUUGUCAGUUUAAUCUCAAAAUUGUUCAAUAUAUGUUUAUUAUGAAGCCAUCCAAGAUAUGAAGGCUAAGAAUCUUGAAAUUCCUACUUUUUUUAGUCGGUAAAAAAUGGUUGUCUGGGCAGUAAAUUUAGGACCCUUAAAUAUGCAAAUGAAUUUCAACCACUAAAACCCAUAGGCUUUAUUUCCUCGGCACAUAUUUUCAAACAAGAGGAUCAUCUCCCUCUUGAAUUCAAUUGGGUUUAAGGGAUCCUACCUUUUCUUUAAUUCUCUCUCCAUGCUUAGGGAGAGACAAGAGGAGGGAGGGACAGCCAUGUCUCCAUCGGUCGACGAGAAAUCCAAACACAAUCCUUCGAAUGUGUAUUCCCCAACACAAGUAUAUCCGGCAGACCCUCCUCCCUAUCAAGAGCUUGCGCCACCAUAUCAUGGCGGUCCUAACCAUCCAUCGUCCAAUGAAAUACCAUUCCCGACCACUGUGUCCAAACGGAGCAAUAUGUUUGCUCGCGUUUUGCUUUGCCUUACAGUUGCAUUAAUCUUCGGUGCAUGCCUCUUGGGCCUCCUAUUGUGGUUUCUUUUCAGUUCAGACGUUCCCCAUUUUGAAAUCCAAACGUUUUCCAUUCCCAAUUUCAACUUCACCAAAUCAGCGUUAAAUGCUAAUUGGGAAGCCGGGUUGAACUUGAAGAAUCCUAACACUAAACUCGUUAUUUCAUUUGAUCAAACCGAAAGUAGCCUUGUUUACAAGAACUUCAUUCUUGAUACAUACUUAUUCGAUUCUUUUCAAGUGGAGAGAGCAGAAGAAAUCCAUAUGGAUACCGACUUUUUCGUGCCUGCUUCUGAUGACACAUAUUAUAACACGACUGAAGCCCCGUGGGUGAAAGAUAUGAUUGAAGAACGACGUAAAGGAAGCAUGGUUUUUGAAGUGAGGAUAAUAACCACUGCUACAUUUAUGGCUGGGGAGUUUUGGAGAAGACAAAUAACUUUGGAAGUUGCCUGUGUGGAUUUAAAGGUAGAUUUUCCUGCUCCAACGGGUGGAGGAACCUGGAAUGGUAACAGAAAAGAUUGUAUGCUGUUUAAAUAAUUAAAACUUUUCUUCUUUUUCUUACAGCAACUAGCUUUGAACGGGUCGAGAAAGAUGCAGUUUACUUACGUGUCAAGACCUUAGUUUCAUCUUUAAAAGGUCAAACUUGUUAAGAGACCUCAGUUGGAUCGAAUUACUCGUUUGAGUUUAAUGAACUUUAAUACCAUGUUAAGACUUGAAUUUAUCGUAAGAGGUCAACCUUGUUAAGAACAAUAAUCCAAAUCCUUGUUUAUUAAUUUAUAAUUCGAUAUUUAAACAAUGUGUAAAUUAUGACAUUUGUAAAUCAGUAUCAACUCUUCAAAUCUGCUCCUAAACCAGACAUCCUCCUCGACAACCUCACAUUUUAGAAGAACGUGAACUAUAUCUUAUGUCCCUUCCUUGCAUCUGUUACAAAGAGUUACUCACCGAUAAGUGUUAAAAUAUUCACUUAAUUACGCUAUUAUACACACAAUGCAAUCUAGAUGCAACUAAAUAGAAAGACUUUCUCAUGUACGUGGGAUUAUGUCUAUAAUUCAAGUUUCAUUUCUGAAAAAUAUUUAAUAGGAGGAAAAAAUAAUAAACUUGAAAGAGGAGGAGAGAAAAAUAUUGAAUUAUGAUGACUCACUCCGUCAAGAAAAGCCUCUACAUCUAGACGAUCUUUUAGACUUCUUUUUUCCGUAUCACAUCAACUAGACAUAGAUCUAAUCAUGUUGUAUUAAAGAUGAACUUUGUAAACAUUGCAAAUUUUAACAUAGUGCAGCCCAAGUAGCAUAUAUAUAUAAAUCCCCCUAAAAUAGUGUACGGUUUUAUAUGAGAUAGUCGACAUCUGAUAUUAGAAAAAACCAAAAAAUUUGAGCUCAAGUCUUACCACAAUCUGUUAAUGAAAAUUGUGUAUGUGUCGUAGUUUUGGUAAAAAAUAAAAAAUAAAAUAAAAUAAAAUGAUCUCAUCCUAUAAUUAACAUGUUAGUUGACAAGUUUGAACGUACUUGAUCUUUUAGCAGACAUAGCCGCGAAUUAAACAGAAAUGAAAGGUAAGAUAUUAUAAUGUGAAUUCCAAACUGGUAGCUUAUAAAAUUGUGGGACUUACAGUUGCAUGGAUUUCGGUCCACACAAUUUUUGGGUCUAAAACUUAUAUGGAAGCUAUUUUUUUGCCUAAACAUGCCCCUAAAUAAUUUCAAAUACAGUUCGCCAAACAUGAAAAUUGUGAUGUGGUAUUACAAAAUCAAACUUAUUCGUUUACCGUGAAACUAUAAUCCAUUCAUCAAUAUGAUCCGAUCAAUUACGAGAUAUGAAGUGUAUCAAUUUCGAAUAUCAAUCAUAUCUUUCAUCUUAAUUUUAAGUCAAUGUAAGUUAAAAACUCAUUCCAACUUAUGAGUACACUUUGAUCAAGAAUUUCAUUAUCAAUUUAAUUGAAUGAAAUGUAGAUCAUAAUUCUUACUAUCUAAGAGUGAUGAAUUUCUAUUAAUCACUUACAAUCUUUAUAUUAUUCUCGACAUACCCGAAUGAUACUGUAGUAGGGAUUCUUGACAGAACAACAUUCAAUAUCACUAAAGUAUGACCGUUCCCGUAUAAGGUACCAUGAUGACCUCAAUUCGAAGGACCAAUUUCGCAAUCGAACAUUAGAGAUUAACCACUAACACUCAGAUAGUCAUCCAUGUAGAAUUUUUCCAGCGGGUCUCCAUUGUUUUGUUCUAUAACAGAACACUCACGUGUUCAUUUAAGUUUACCAAAUUUUAACUUUUGAGAUCAACUACUUCAUAAGUAAAAAAUGCAACACAUGAUGAUCUAUCUGUAAUAAAGAUAUCUAUAUCUCGUUAUUACUUACAACUACCGAUGAUUUAAAAUUCAACCAUAUACAAUUUGUAUCUCGCAAUCACAAUUUCUUGUAAUUAACAAGUUACCAAAAAUUGAAUCUAUAGAAUCUUUUAUUAGAUUUAUUAGAAUUAGAAUAUAAUUCAAUUAAAAAAAUAGAUCUGUCAUAAAUAAAAUGCAUUAAUUAUAUAUUAAAAGUGUUAUGUCUAAAAUCAAUUUGACUCAAGAUAUCACACUUAUAGGUUCCUCUUCCUCCUCAUCUUCGCUUCUUUGCCACAGCCACAAACCACACCGGAGCUUGCAUGGGGUAUGCUCAUUAUCACCUCCACCUUCCAUGCCUCGAGAGACCCAUCUUUUGCCGUGCUGUAACCUGGGAGCUUCUUCUAAUUCUCAUCACUUGUAUCUGCUGGUUUUUGAUUUGGUUCGUAAUUCACCCAACUAGUCAACAACUUCAAUCUCCUCUGGCAAGCUUUCCAAAAUUUGAUUCUCCACUCUCCAGUAACACUCACGGGCUCGUGCAAUUUGACACUGACUAUCACCAAUCUCAACCACCACUUGACCGCCAUUUAUAAUCAAGUGGAAAUAUCUCUUCACUAUACAUCCUCCUAGCGUGUGCAGCUUUCUAAAGACUAUUUGCCUACUUUGGUUCAAUCAAGGAAGUAUCAGACGGUGAUAAACACUGAUCUCAGUGAUCUGGAACCUGAAAAGGAUGUGAUGGAGGCCCUGAAAGAGGAUAUGAAUCGAGGAACGCUCAAUUCUGGGAUCAAAGUUCUUGCACCGGUGAAUACCCAGAAUGGGAGUGGAAAACCAAGGCUCAAUUGAUGAGAGCAUUUUGUAGAGGCAUCAUAUUGGUUUCUGAUUUUCUUCCCAAUAACAUCUCAAGGAUUUUUCAGGAUCCCAAUCGGCAUUGUGUGGUUUAUCUUUUUCAAAAAUAAAUGUUAUGGAAAUUCUUGGCUUUGAUCAUACGUGCAUCUCCAAUUUGCAUAUUUUUGGCACAUUAUUUGCACAUACCUAAAUCGAUUCAUUCUUUCAGAUUGAGAUAAUUGACAAUGCAAAUCAAGUCCACUUUGGUUAUUAGCAUGAACCUGAUAUGCAUUGGCUUGAUCGUUAUUUCAUUGGUCGCACAUUUUGUUUUAUGUUGUCGGAACAUAAUAAAUUAGAAGAUUCGCCGGCACCUUGGUGUUACGGUUUUUGUUUUCAUGUCAGGAAUUUUAAUUAUUUGAUUGACGCCUGCGACUUUUAGGGCAUCUUUCCGUUAUUGUGAUAUUGCACGUGUAGUGGCACUGAACAAUUGUUAGUUGACGUUCAAUUGAAUUUGGAAUUAAUUAAAGGUUGAACCCCAAACUUGAGAGUCCCCAUCACCUCGCCCCUAGAGCUUUAUGAGGGAGAUAAAUCGUGGGAUGUGCCCCAUCAGGCUAGGGAACAAGAGCUAUCUGUACACUGCGCCUACAAGGAGUCCAAUUCCUUAUCUCAGAAAUCGAACCCCCACACUGCGGUUGCCAACAAGGCUGAAUUUGGAAUUAAUUGCUUUUGCUGUUACGUGAUUAAGGUUUCCUCAACUUAAGAUUUCAAUAUUUUAGUUUGACAACAUAUGUUCUGAAAGAUAUGCAGCAAUUUCUUGUGUACUAAUAUGAAUCUUUUAUGAAAUCUUGUCUGAACUCUGAAGCUCAAAGUACACUUCACUUGUGGGUUUGAUCAUCAAGUGUAAAACUAAUGUGGAGGUAAGUUCAGUCGAGAUGAGUUUAACUGCCACAGAAAAGUUAUCUACUUUUGAGAUGAUUAGGUGCAAAUUCAAUUUUAUCCUAGCUCAGCUGUAAGGAGAUAAUAGAAUUCUGUUUCAAAUAGCCGGUUCAGGAUUUCAAAUUUUGCUUGAAACCAUAUAUUUUUGCAAAGAGAUCAUCACAAUUUUUGAAUAAUUGAUAUUCGCCUUUAAUGGAGAGACUGGUUGGUCUAUAUCAGUUUCAAUUUGAGUCCGGCCCGAAUAUAGGAUUCAUCUCUCUCUCUCUCUCUCUCUCUCUCUCUCUCUCUCUCUCUCUCUCUCUCUCUCAUGUCCUUCGUCUUCCAAGCAUGGAGAGCCAUUAUCGUGUACGAGUUGUUGAUCUAUUUAUUCCUGCUCUAAGAUGUAAGCCCCAAUCUAACUUCCAUUUUUUGGAAAUGAAAAAUAAUGGAAUAGUAUUUUCUUGAAAAAAUAAGUGGUUAAGAAAGAAAGAAAAAUUUCGGUUAACGUGUAAUAUUAUUUUAUAAAAGAUUGUGUAGUUGAAAAUAAGAGAGAGAAAAAUGGAAUAUAAUGAAAUGGAAAUUAAUGAGAUUCAAACGGUGGUUAAGUGUCCACUUUGUCAAUUCAGAGCCGAACACAUUGGUAGCCAAUGCAACGAUGUGACAAAGAAAUGAUUUGAUAUAUGAAGAUCGAAGUGAUCCUUGAGGUUUAGGGAUUUUGUCAAGCUCUGUAGCAGUUUCUUUCCGAUAGUCAUUUAGAUCAAUAUAAAAGGACUUUACGCCGAUGACAUUUACGGAAUUUUUCAUCAUAUGUGCUUCUAUUUAUCACGGAUGGGGAAAGUUCAAGUCGUUGUAGUCACUAAGUUGUUGCAAUAAAUAAGCAUUAAUGGUAUUCAAUUGGUAGUUGAUGGUAAAGGCUGAAGCUUUUGAGAAUCGAAGACCCUUAAUGUUAAAUUGUCAAUGCCCAAAGAAAGAUCAAUUUCCAGAGGAAAAAAUUGGGAACGGAAAUCAAGAAAUCAUCGUGUCUUUGGGGAUGGCAAAAAAACUCGUUCAACCGGAUACCCGUGAGAUCCCACCCCCAAUGGGGUGGGGAUUACUCUCCUAACCGGAUAAAUGGAACGGGUACGGGGCAAGGAUCAUCGCCCACCUCGCCCCGAAGCGGGUAUGGGAAAGAUAGUCCCUACCCCGUUUAAAAUCAAACAAAAAUAAUAUAUUUAUCAUCAUUUUUAAAGAGAACAUUAGUCAUUUUUAAUAAAUUGGUAAAAAAAAAAAGUAAUAAUAUUUACUAAUUAAGGACAUAAAAAAUAAUAAAAUAAAAAGAAAAAAUAAAUGGGGUAGGGGACUUGCCCCACCCCCUUCCCGCUUUAAUCAAAUAUGGAUAUAGGGUAAGAUAAUAAAAAUACUCGACGGGAUGAAGAUGAGAAUGGCCGACCUGUUCCAUACCCAUAUCGUUGUCAUCCCUAUGUGUCUUUCUGAGAAGAGCUUCAAUUGUUUAUUCAAACCUCCUCAUGGGGGUACUAGGGGCGAAUUCAGGAGUUUGAAUCAGUACGGGCGGUCGUUGACCAUUUACCGUUGGCCGCAAUAAAAUAUUAAGAGUCCUUUUGAUAUCCAUUUUUAUUUUUGCAAAAAAAGCAUUUUGGAUUAGUGAUUUGAUGGAGAAUGUGUGACUAAAAAUAAAGAAUUUUUUUUGAAUUUACGUGUAAUAUUAUUUUAUUGAAAAACGUAUGGAUGAAAAAGAAGAAAGAAAAAACGUAGUUUAAAAAAAUGGGAAUCGAACAAAGUCUAAAGUAUAAAUAUAACAAUUAUUUUGUUCGAAUUGAAUAUAUAUAAUUUUGUUAUAAGAAUCAACAGAAUUCAUCAAAUGAUAUUAUUGCCAAGUUUUGUAUAAUACAAAGGAAGAGUGCGAAUUCAAAUUUUCAAAAUUAUUUGCAUUAAAAUAGUCAAAACAUAAUAAAUAUUAUUUUGUUAAAUUUAAUGACAUAAUUCAAAAGGUACCAUAAUGGUUAAGUUUACAACAAUCCUUGCUUGAGAUCACCGGUUUGAAUCCUCAUUGUCCCCUCAGUAUUGAAUUUUUCUAAAAACUAUAAAAACAAAAUAAUACACAACAAAUCCAUUGACAGAGGAGUUGAACCUGAGACCUCAAGUAUGUUUCAACUGACUCUCACCAAAUAAAAUGUAUUAUCAAAAAUAUAAGGUAAAAAUUUAAUCUAUUGUUAAAAAAAAAAAAAUUCACCCAGCAGAUCGGCGAUCGCCCUAGCUAGCCACCACCUAGAUCCGCCACUAGGAGGUAGGACGAGUUGUGGACUUAUUAGGUCAACUUUAUUACUUGUUUGACGAUAUUGUCCACUUACAAUUUCAACCCAUCGAGAAGUCGUAAUGAUUGGACCCGACUAAUCUUUACACCUCUACUUGUAAACACGGUACGUGCAUUGAAUUUAACUCAUGUUUGGUUUGGCUAAAAAUUAAAUAUUCAGUAGAUUUGAUAAAUAUUGAUAAAAUAUAUGAUUAAAAAAUAAAAAAAAAAUCGUAAAUAUUGUAAAGCGUGUGAGUGAAAAUAAUUUUUAUAAAAAACUAUAUGAUUUCAAAAUAUUUGGGCCAAACAGGGUUUUUAGCAAUGUCCGCCUACAUAAUGAUAGCUCUUUUUGCACUGGGGUCUGGGGAGUUGUACUUGAGUUUCAAAGGUUCUCAAACUCCAAGGAUGAUAUUGUAGGGACUUUUCCUUUUUAUCAAGUAUUUUUACUUUUGGGAGAUUAACUGAUUUUGAGCAUACUAUUGUUGGAAUGAGUUGGAAAAAUAAAAUAUAAUUUUGUGUGAAGACGUAUAUUAAUUCAAAUUUAACACCUCGAUUAUUGUUAUUAUUAUUUAUUUUUUAUGGGGUGUUAAGCUAUAGAAAUUAGAAUCAUUUUCGGAACGUUUGAUUCGUUAAAUUGUAUAGGAGGAUACUAUAGUUGACAAGUUUUAGAUUCAUUCAAGAAUGUAUUACUUGUGGUUAAACGAGAGACAAUUUGUGAUUUUUUUUUUUUUUGGAGUGUCCUUUAUAUAAAUCUUUGAAAGGAUAGUUAGUACAUCUAUCUUUAUUCGUUAAUUUUGUCUGAUUUUAUCUCUUACUAAAUGUUUAUAUACCCUUUUGAUAUUAAUAGUUUGUUAUACUUGAGCCCAUUUGACAAGAUUUCUGAAUUGUCAAAAAUUAAUUCCGAGACUAAAAAAUGCUUUUGGAUAUGUUCAGAUAAUUUUAAAAAAAAUAUUUCUUUGACUAUACGAACUUUUGGAGUUAGCUGAUUUAAGAUAACCUUCUCAUGAAAUUCUUCUACAAGAACUAAAAGUCCUGUCAAAUGAACUCUUAAUGAAAUAUAAUCCUUUUAACUGAAGCGAUACUCGUUGUUAAGAGCAUGUAGACUUUAAUUGAAGCUAAUAAUCUUUAAAAAAAUAAAAAAUUUGGAAAUGCAGAAAAUGACUACAAAAGGGGGUGGGAACAAAAAGGACAAUUUUAAUUUAAUGGCCAUAUAAUUCAGUUCAGUUUGAAAUUUCUUCUACAUUGACUAAACUCUGUCUCACGUUGAAAGAUAGAGUUAUAGAAUUAUUUCUCCCAUGUGACCUUGAAAUUUAUUUCCAAACAUGUGGUUUUGAUUUGAACGCUACAUCCGAAUUGCUGCAAUAAUAAUUUCUUGAUCGUAAAUAUUAAUACAAAAAUAUUAAUGGUAGGUAGAAAAAGAGCAUUAACUAAUCCUAUUUCAAUAAUUAAAAGUCAAUAUGUCACACUAUGGUUCUAUUAAUUUUAUCAUGUUUCUAUCUAACGCGUUUUCCAAUAAACGAACACAACUGUUCUAUCUUCAUAUUGAUUAGACUGCUCAACACAACGUGAUAAGUUAAUUCAUGGCUACCAGAACAAGGACAAUACAAAAUUAUACAUAAACUCCCUGUCACUUUACUUGUCGAGAGUAUAGUUGAUUUUUUGACUUAGAAUGAGUUAUUUGAUUCAUAAUAAUUUGUCGAUUCCUCAAAUUUUUGCCUCGGCCCCUAUCACAAGGGUCUGUUAAAAGUCCCUGUUUGAAUAGCAUAAUAUAUGGAUGAAAUAAAUAUGAAUGUAUCCAUCUCAGCCCUCAUCGUGGAGCAUGUCGAAAUCUCCUUUUUGACUUUUGAGUGGCAUGAUACAUUGAUGAAAUAAAAGGUGUAUAUACAAACUCGAAUCCGGUAGUCUGAACUGAAAGGUUCCCGUUCUCUUGAUCAUUAAGUGGGCCCCAAUCUAGAAUAUAACGUGUCAAUUCCAUACUCCAAUCUCCAUCAGACACACACACAAGGUCUAGGUUCAAUAAUCUUUCUUUUGAUUAAAUCGUUCCAAAAAAAAGAAGGGAUUGUUUGAUAGAUUUUUUAAUUUUAACAAAUAUUAAUCAAAAUUGAUAAAGUGUGCUGUUGAAGAAUCGACCUCCGAUGGUGGAUUUUUCGGAUUCAGUUUCACCAAUCUCAACCUUAUCAAAUACACCCAAGUAUGGCUCCAACCCAACAACAGUUCUUACUUCGGUUGCUUAACUCAAUGUGUUCACAAAUAAUACAAUAUGGUGGCUGCAAUGAAUAACCAAGAUUAGAGGAAGACAGGUUCAAUUUCAAAGCUCAAGAGAGAUAACAAGAGAAAAGUCGGCUGCCUCUUUCUUCAAUUGCACACACACGGCUUAUUAAACAAUGAGGCCAAUAUAUAUAGUUUUAGGGUGUAAUAGUAGUGGACUAAUAUAGUGGGCUCGUAGACCAACUAAUGGUUAAAGGGGCGGAACACAAAAGUGAGCCAUCCAAUAAGUAAAUCGGUCGUGAGCAACAUAAACUAUAUUAAGUUGUUUUAAAUAACCCUCAAGUUGUUUUUCGUGUUGAGCCAAUAAAUCGAGUGUAUUAAUAAAUAUUUCAAUUAUCGACUGAAACCUAUGAAAUCUAAUCCGACUUUCCGACAUUGUUUAACAUCAUCGCCCGAGAUUAUUGGGUAUCAAAAAACCCAACAUGCGCAAUUGAAGUCUGAACAAAUGAUAAAAAGUUAUGAGUCCCGUAAAAUAUGUAGUUAAUUGUUGAUUUUGACAUCAAUUUUUUAAUAAUAUUUUAAACAAUUCCAAAUCAGCGCUAAAUACUUAUAUCAAAACUAAUUAAUUAGCAAAUGUUAUUUUUAAUUUUAUUUAUUUUUUUAUCGAUUGUAUACACGUAAUGUAUAAAGGUAAAUAAAGCAUAGUACAGUAUGAGCUUAUGGAGAUUCCGAUUCACGUGUAUUGACUUUUAAUUCAAUCGAUAUAUGAACAUAAAUAUAAAAAUUCUUUUUUUAGUUUAAAUUUUUAGACGAGUGGAUUUCAAUAAGAUGCUAAAUAGAGGAUAUAGUGUUGAGUUUGUUGAUUUUCUUUUUGUUAUUUUAAGAAUAAUUUAUUAAUUAUUCAAGUAGGAAUGCUAGUGUGUAACAAAUGAAGGAAGAAAGUUGUGAUUAAUUAGUUGAAUGAUUCAAAAAGUCGUGACCCAUAUCCAUCAUUCUCGUAAGUGUGCACAUGAUUUGUCACCACUCAUACAUAUUAUAAAAGAACUUUAAUUAUUAUUAUUAUUAUUUUUAUUAUUAUAACCAAGUGGUGCUUUCAAUCCGGUUAUUAAACUAAUUUUUGCUAACAAUAAGAUAAUACUCGACAACUAAGAAAAAUAAUCGUAAAUUUAUGUUAAAAUUGUACCAUUCUAAAAUUCAGAGCUAUUCAAAAAGUUACACUUAACCCCUAUUUAGUUUAGAUAAAAGAUAAAUUUUGAUAAAAAAUGAUGAAAUAUGUGAUUGAAAAAUUAUGAUCCCAUUAAACAUAUAAAUAAAAUUAUUAUUGAUUUUUAACUUAAAAUUUAAUCAGCUUUUUUAAUUGAAUUGCUUAAUUUAUAGCUAUUCAAUAAGGAUUAAAGCUACACGAACAAAGAUACUUGACAGGAUUGGGUGACAAGUGGCACAACACCUGUCUGGCGGAUUCUCUCUCUCUCUCUCUCUCUCUUUUUUUUUUUUUUGAGAUUAUGCCACUUGUACAUAAAAAUGGUACAUAAAAAAUUACAUAAAAUAAUGUGGAAGAAAAAGAUUGGAUGAAAAAAUUAACUGUAUUUUAAACUAACAAAUUAUAGAGUGACAUCACUAACAUGUAGUAUUAUGUAAUACAUUAUAUAAAACUCACGUGUAGCAAUUUUUUUUCUAAUUGUCAAAUAAAAAAAUGACACGUGUCACCAUCGCUAAAAAUUUCUGUCAUUGAACCUAUUAAUGUAGCAGUUUGCACAGAAAUUAAAAAAAAAAAAAAUUCAUUCUUUUUUAAUCCCACGUUCUUUCAAAAAUUACUAUUUAAAAAUACAUUUUAUCCAAACUUUGGUUUCAAACGGGGGCUAAAAGUCGCACAUAUCAUUUCUGAUUUCACCACAAGGCGUUUUUAACACGGCACAUUGAAUCACACAAACAUGCAGACCCCCCUACUCUAGCUCACUUAUAUAGACAAGCAAUGUGCCAAACUACUCACAAUUCACAAUUUCCUCUUAGAAACCUCGUCUACACUCACCGCCACCGCUACCACCACCGCCACCGCCAUGGCGGUUGAAAAGUGCAGCCUCCACAAGGACAGGCGAAGGAAGCGCAUCCGGCAGUGCUGCGCCGGCUUCCUUAUCUUAAGCUUCAUCAUUCUCCUUGUCGUCCUCAUCGUCUGGGCCAUCCUCCAGCCUAAGAAACCCCGGUUCAUCCUCCAGGACGCCACCAUCUUUUUACUCAACGUCUCCGCUCCCAAUAUCAUCUCCACCUCCAUCCAAGUCACCAUCAAUUCUCGCAACCCCAACUCCAGAAUCGGCAUAUAUUACGACAAAUUAGACGUCUACGCCACCUACCACAGCCAGCAAGUGACCUACUAUACCAUCAUACCUCCGGUGUAUCAGGGCCACAAGGACGUAAACAUCUGGUCACCUUUUGUUUACGGGAACGACGUGCCGGUGGCGCCGUACAAUGGUCUAGCCUUGAGCCAGGAUCAGUCUAAUGGGGCUAUUUUUAUGGUUUUCAAGAUGGAUGGCCGUGUUAAAUGGAAAGUUGGAUCGUUUGUCUCCGGCCGGUACCACCUCCACGUUUCCUGUCCGGCUUAUAUUCCGAUCGGAAAUAGCCGGAAUACUGGAAUUGUCGUGGGCACCGCAGUUAAGUACCAGCUAUCACAGGGUUGUAGAGUCAGCGUGUGAAUCGUGUGAUCUGCAAGAAUAAAAGCCAACUUAUAUUCUCUCUAUCAGCAGUUAAUAAAUUUUUUUUCCUACUUUUUUUUUUUUUUGGGUUUUAAUUAAUCUUCCGUGAAGCAUAUGAUUAUAGGGCGAUGAAUUGUACAUUUUGCUGAUCAAUAAGAUUAAGAAGCAAAAUUACAAUUGUAAGAAAGUAUAAAAAAAUGUUCAAUAAUUGUUUCUUGAUUAGUAAAGUCAAGUGAGUAUUUAGUGGGAAGUUAAUAUGUCACUUUCCUUCAUUAUCUUGCAUUAAAGAUUGAUAAGAUUUCUCGUGUUUUAUAGAAAAGUUAUUAUGCCCCGUUUGGCCGCUUGAAUAUAAAUAAUUUUUUUUUUUUGCAUUCCGCGAGCUCAAAUAUUAAUUUCAAUCGCACAUUCGUAAUUAUUACUCAUUUCUCAUUUAUAUAUUUCGUGGAACUCAGUGUUAUUCUUCCUAAAAAAAUUACUAAUAAUUUUAGAUGAGAAGAGGUUUAUUAUUUGCUUUCUUAGUGUUUACACUUUUUCUUGAAUGUUGUAAUUAAUUUUCAAUUAGAUAUGGUUCUACUUUACAAUAUUUUAUUAUAAGGUUCAAGGAGCAUCUGAUCUGUUUUUGUUGAAUCUAGGAAUAGAAACUGGACAUGCCAUGUGAUAUGUAGCUGCCAAACUAUGACCUUCUGUAGUGUAUUCAUAUUGACUUCUUCUGAAUUUAUUUAUUUAAAUCAAAUUAUUAACAUCGAUGUGUUAUUGGUGGAAUAAAUUCUUAAAAUUUAUUUUCAGUUAUUCAUUUUCGUAGUUCAAAAUCGAUGUACUUACCAUUCCUACUAGCCCGUAAUUGGUGAUUUAAUUUUCCCUAGACAACUUGGUGGAGUACUAAGGUGGGAAUCAGUAAUCUUGUGAAACUUGUACUUGACGGCUAUGAAGUAAAGUGAAACGAUGAAGAUAACUAUUACUUUUUCGGAAAAAGUCCCUUGGGCAUCCAAGGUUUGUUCAAAUAGCAGCCCCGAACUUUCACACUCCUUUUUUGAACCUGUUGAUGGGUCACUCCCUCGAAGUGUACUAUUUCGUGCUAGCACUAGUUAUGGGACUAAAAAAGGUGUCAAAAAUAUGGAACUGAAUAAUAAAAAAUGACAUAUAGGCACAAAGUACAUUAAUUUCUGCUUAAAUAAUUUAGCAAAAAUUGAAUUUUGUUCACUGAUAGAAAAGUAUGUUUUUGAAAGGAAUAAUUACUUUUUGCUAAAGGUGGAAUGGAAUUACAGAAUUGUUUAGACACUAAUUAUUUGUGGUAGACAUAGGUCCAUAGUUUUUUUAAUUAUUGGUAGCAUAUGUACCUUAAAAAAACAAAAACAAAAAAGAAUAUUUUUUGAAAAACUUUAGUUCCUUGGAAUACACUUUUCAUAGAAGAUAAAGAGAGAUGUACUAAAUAUAUUAUGAGGGUGCUUGGUGGGAUUAAAAUUAGAUAUUUUUAGUGGAUUGUGAUAGAACUUUUUGAAAUAUGUGAUUGAAAAGUUCAUAUUUCAAAAAGUUCUGAAAUCUAUAAAAGAUGUGAUUAAUAUUGAUUGUUUGACUUUGAUUUAAAUUACAGUUGGAUUUUAAUUACAAACAAACAAGUUGUGUAUGAUGUUAAUGUCAACAUUGGAGGCUAUUCUCCCUGCGAGUAUGGCCCAAUUUGGUUGUUGUGAUGCAAUAUGUCCAAGUGGGAAUUGAUAAACAUGAUAAUAUCCACCUAUUUCAACUUUGUGAUGUUAUAUAUAUAGUUUUGGAAUCAUAUAUUUACAUCUUUCUUAAGGCACAUUUGACAAGAUUUUUAUUUUUUAUAGAAUAAUUUUCUGAAGGAGGGUCCAUUUGGCGGAACUUCCGAUAGGAUUCUUAAAAUCUCAAAUAUGAGUACUUUGCCAUUGAGCCUUACAGUGAGCAUAUUUGGGAGUGAUUUUUUUCCUCAAAAAAUUAAUUUUUUUAUCGUUGUUUCACUAUUUUGACCGUCAUAUUAGACUUUUUCUUUCACAGAUGGACCUUACUUUUCUUCUAACGAUCAAAAAAUAAAUUCUCAAAAUUACUUCCAAACAGACUCAGUUAAAAGAUGGACUUUCAUAGGAGAGUCUAUCUUUCACAUGCCUUUGUGUGUGGGGUCCUUUUCACUCUACCACCAUUUCUACCUACAUUAAUACAUAAUUGUAUCAUAGAAAGGGACUUGCAACAAUAGUAUACUUUAAUUUCAAUGCUCUUUUAUCUACCCACAAAUGAGUAAAGCACCUUGUCCUUGAAAGUUAUUAUUUGGGAAUAUGGAGAGUGGGCAGUACUAAAAGUUAUAUCAACACCUUGUCCUUCACACUUCAAAGCCAUUUAGUUUUCCCUGACAUAGUUUAUAACGGGCUCAGUGUCGUUAGAUACAGGGGUGGCAUGGGUCACGGACCCCCCAACGUUUAGGUAAAUUCAUUUUUUUUUUUUUUUUUUUUUAUCACCAUUAAAUUUUUUAUGUUUUUGCGUCAAUUUUCAAAGUCAAUAUGGGAUGCUAAACGAAGUCGAAAUAUUGAUUUCUUAACACCAUUUCAAAGUACUCAUGGCCUAAUUUUCUAAUUGUUAGUCAUGCACAAAACGGCCAACCACAGCAAAUGUUAUGGCUUUCAAAGCAGGUCAUUUCAAACUAAUAUUUUGAGAAUUUCGAUUAACAUACCAAUCUUAAAAAUUCUUCGAUAAUCAUACGCUAGUUGAAUCCACAAAUCACCUACAUCAUCUCGAAGUUCGCUUCGAGAAUACAUUAUAGAUAUAUCGAAUGGUUGAAAUAGAUAUUGAAAAUAGUUAAAGGUGUAUCAAACGUGCUUCUUAAAACAAAGUGUCUAACUAGUCUUUCUUUAAAAAACUUCAAUUAUUUCAUUAAUAUUCAUUAUUUCUGCACGAUAAAUUUCUCAAUAUAAUCUACAUCAUUUUAUUAGAAAAUUUUACGAGGACGUCACAUCAAAAAUUUUCAUAAUUUUACAUCCGAAAAAGUCAUAUAUCAUCAUGUACAAAUUAUUAUUGUUUAAUAAGAAAGUUUUAAUUUACUUUUGGACCCCGGGAUCGGCCCAAGUUUUAGUUUGUCAAGAUCUUGAACCAAGUUGAAUUGGACACGUCAACAAUGGAAAAUAUAUUGGACCUACCUAUUGGACUGGACUGGACUGUCCUAAUAUUAUUGUUCGAGGCCUAUCUUAAAAUUGGGGUCGAAGUUGGGUUUAUAUGUAGAAGGGCAACUUACUCAAAAGUCAGGUCCUCCGAGAAAAUUAGAUGAAAAGUAUUUUGAAGGUAAACAAAUAUUGUGUAAAAUCAAAUUACAUAAUGUAAGACGUUUUUGUUAAAGAGUGACACAUCGUGUCACUUUCUCUAUCAUGGAACCUUAAUUCACAUUUAAUACAACAAAAAAUAAAAUUAACAUCUAAUUAUUGGUUCAAGGAAUUCUUAUAAGCAAAUUGAAAUCUUUGUCGAAGGUGUUGGGUUGUUCUAUUAAAAAUUGAUUGCGUGUGACAUUUUAUAAGAAGUGACACCACGAUAUAAUAAUUGUGAAUAUAUAAAAAAACUUAGACAAAGAGGUGAACCUUAAACUCGAAAAAUUAACAUAACAAAACAGUAAAUAAUAGAAAUUAUUGCAAAACAGGUUUAUAAUUUUCACAAAUUUUAAAAGUAAUUGAAGAAUGUCACUUUUUUUCCUUUUUUAAAAAAAAAAAAAAGUGACAAGUUAUGUCNNNNNNNNNNNNNNNNNNNNNNNNNNNNNNNNNNNNNNNNNNNNNNAAGAUUCUUGUUUUAACACUGUAAGCUCAGGUAAGUUUAAUUCUCAUCUGGCACAACAUGAGCAAAUUGUUUGACAUUUUAAUUGAAAAGUGACAUGUUUGUUUUCAACAUGAAUUUAACAAAAGUAUACUAAGAGUUCGUUUGAUUGCAAAUGUGGAAAAGGCAAGCCAAUUCCAUGUAAGUCGAAAAAGAAAAAACCAUCAAAAUCAUAGGAAUUCAAUUUCCAUGGAAUUGGUCAAAAACAUGUUUCAAGUGUUUGUACUUUGAAAUUCGAACUCAAUUUCCACUUUCGUAUCAAAUAGCCAAAGUAGAAAACGAAUUACUGGAAUGUGACAUUUUUCAUAGAAUUCGUUUCAAUCAAACGGAUCCUAAGAGAUAAAAUAAUAGCUUGCAUAUCGUCUCACUUGGUGCCUGAUUAUUGACACAACAAGAAAGUUUUCGAUACAGAUGGACAAGACAUUUUUAAAAUCGGUAAAAUCAUAUCACGAGCUAACCGGGGAUCUCAGAAAAACAUUAACCACACUCUUUAUCUAUAUACAAUUGUGUUAUUUUGUAAGUGAAAAUUUUCUAAAUCGAAAAGAGUUAUACUUGAUCAAUUUCCAUGGCUAUCACAUUGUUUUGCAAAGCCAGAAUCACCAAAUACAAAGAUGAACACUAUAUACGUUUUGCCAACAUUAAAAUAAUAAUAAUAAUAAUAAUAAAUCUUUUACAAGAUGUAUAUCACCAAACAGCUCGCAAUUUUGCAUCCACUAAAACCCAAAGAACACAGAGACUUCGAUUUUGCAAAUACAAGCAGAUAGUUAUAGACCUAUAGAAAAACAGAGACUAAACAAAUACGAAUUUACCAAUAAUUUUAGCAACAGCUUUGGUGGCAUUUUUUUUAGAAUGUCAAUAGUAUCCACUAGAUCAAGUUGAAUGUUGUGAAUAAAUUAUACUCUUCUUUUUUAGUUACCGAUAAUACUAACAGUCGUACGAGAGUGUUGAAUUUCUAUAGGCAAAUAACAAAUCUUGAAAAUCGAAAACAAAAAUUUGAAGUAGAAUGGGGUUCUGUAGAUAGAUUGAAACCCAAGUCGAAUUGCUAUAAGAAUUAAUCAUCGAGGCAAAAUUGAAUAUUAAAUGGGUAGUAAAAGUUGAAGAGAAAAACAAUUUAAAUUGUCAAGGCUAGCCCUGAGAAUUUAGAGACCCUAAACGAAAAAUUAUUUUGAAACCCUAUAUUUUUUUUACACUUGUAACAAUAUUUAAAUAAAAAAUAUAUCUAUAUUCAAGUAAAAACUUCGUACAAUCUAAAAGAUAAAAUUGUAAAAUAAAAUAUCACUUACAACUCGAUAGAUUAGGUUAGCAUCAUAUUUAGUCUUAUUACGUUUAGUAAUCAAACAACUCAAAUCAAGUUUUUCCGAUAUUUUUUUCAAUAGAAAUCGUAGCUAAUCCAUUCAAUCUCUAUUGUAACAUAGAUGAUCGAAGAUAAGACUUAAUCAAUUUCAACUUUGAAAAACUUUUUUCAGUUGACGCAAUGGUAACUAGAAUAGUUAGUAAUAUCCUGUAAGCAACCCAAGUAUUUGCAAAACAACAAUUCAUUCUCUUAAUAUAAUCUAACACAUUAAUUGCUCCAUUAGUUUGUGAAGAUAUUGCUUCCUUUAAAACUUUCAAAUCAGAAAAUAAUUCUAGCACAUUGAUAUCAGAUAUCAUGUUAUGCUUCAAAUAAUUUUCAUGAUUAAUGUAACAACACUUCAACUUAACAUUAUCAAUGGAUUUUAGCUUUUCCAAGUCAAAUAGAAAUUCAAAAAUAUCAUCAUAUUUCUGAAAUUGUUCAAAUCCAUUUUGAAGCGAUGAUAGAGCUUGAUCUACUAUAUAUAAGAAAUAAUUGACUCUGAAAGAUUCUUCAACUGUUUUUUGUCAUCUCUUCACAAGAAAUCUCAUCAAACUGUUUUUUUCAAUUUAUAACUCUUUUUUCACAAAAUAUAGGUUUAAUGUCUAAUUCAAUUGCGAUCUCUUUAGCAUCAAUCAUAGCGAAUUCAAACUCAAUUUCUCUAUAACCUUUGAAAAAUGAAAUGAGCCAUUUUAAAUGGUCUAUAGUAAUAUCAAUAUGGAUGUCUUCUAUUUGCAAAUGUUUGCUUACUCUAUUAACAUUAUUCAACACUUCAUACCAAAUAACCAUCCCAAGUAAGAAUUCAAAAUUUUCUAUUUCGUAUGUUGCCAAACACCCCGCCUCACUUUUUGUUUUAGGAUCAUCAACGAUUGCCAAUUCAAGUAGAGCAUUUUUUAUCUAUGGAGCUUGAAAUAUUUUUGCUUUAACACUUUCAACAUUGUUAGGAUCUUCCUCAAGCUGCUCAAGAUGAUUUUCGGGCUCAGUUAAUCUUUAAAACGCCGAAUCAACACCAAAACCGAAGGUACCCGCCGCCAACCUCACGAGUUCUACCUAUGGUUGCUUUUCUUCCUUCUGCUUGUUGUUUGCUCACUCACAAAGAAUGAAUACCACACAGGUAAGGGUCACAAAGACACAAGCAAGAUGUACACAAGAUCAAGAAGUAGAAUGCACGAAGAAGAAGAAGACACGGCCUCUCUCUCUCUCUCUCUCGGGUUCUUUCACAAAAACGGGACCUUAGAAGGCUAUGAGAGUUACCAAUAUAAAUAAUAAACCAAUGACAAACAAUAAGGUAAGUUAUACAUAUGGUAAGUGGGCUCGACUAGGGUUAUGGCCCAAUAGCACACCAACAAGCCACAAAGGUUUAUUAGCCAUCCAAUAGGUAAAACAACGUUAAGUCGGGUCAUCCCAUUAUUCGAUGUUGAUUUAUCGUUCAGUCAUUCAUGUCGACUGAUAAAACUGGUUUACAUCAUCGUCCGAGAGGUCGUUUGACAACAUGAUGUCUAACAAUCUCCACCUUGGUGUCAAAGGAUCUGCAAAGAGAAAACAUUUUCCAUUAGUGACACCUCUAACAGAAAAUCGAUAAAAUUAGAAAUCAUUUACCUAUACCGAUAUUUAGAAGCUCCUUGCAACUUCUAAACUUUACCAGUAGCAGCACUUUUGUGCCCAUAUCCGAAGGAUUAUAUUGUGUGUGGAUUUUUUCAAGUCUUACUACUUCUUGUGAUAUUAUAUCCCUAAUGAAGUGUAGCCUAACAUCGAUAUAUUUAGUGCGUUCGUGAAAAAUAGGAUUCUUACACAAAUGUAUGGAUGACUGACUAUCAGAAUACACAACCACAUACUCAUUCAAGACACUUAGUUCAUGAAGUAGACCUCUAAACCAUAGAGCCUCUUUAAUUGUUUCAGUGGUGACAAUAUAUUCUGACUCUGUAGUGGAUAGUGCAACUAUGUGUUGUAACUGUGAUUUUCAACUAACACACGAAUUUGAUAAGAUGAAUACGUAAGAGGAAGUUGAUUUCCUACCAUCCCUAUCUCUUGCAUAGUCAGCAUCUACAAAACCCUUUAAUUUCACGUCUUCCUUAUUAGCACUAAAUUUUAGACCUACGUCACUUGUACCCUUCAAAUAUCUUAAAAGCCACUUUAAUGCUUCCCAAUGUUCAGGACCUGGAUUAGACAUGUACCUACUGAGAGUACUAACAGCGAAUCCUAAGUCCGGUCUAGUGCAAACCAUCAAAUACAUUAUGGAACCAAUCACAUUUGAGUAUGAAAUUUUACUCAUGUAUUCCACUUCACGUUCAUUGCAGGGAGCUUGUUCUUUAGAUAGAACAAAAUGGUUUGCAAGAGGCAACGUGACAGGUUUGCAGUCACUCAUAUUAAACCAUUUCAACACCUUUGAUAUGUAUGGAGACUGAUGCAAGAAUACGAUGGAAUUUGACCUAUUUCAUUCUAUUUCCAUGCCUAGAAUCUUUUUAGCCUUUCCUAGGUCUUUCAUGUCAAAUUCUCCACUAAGGUCUGCUUUUAUAUUGUUUAUCCACUUAGGAGAUGAUCCAACUAAAAUAAUUGUUAUCAGUCUCGUUGUGUUGAAAGUAUAGGUAGUGAUCGAAUUUAUUUCUUUGAAAUCCUAUAAUGAGUACAAAGAAAUCAAACCUCUUGUACCACUGUCUAGGUGAUUGCUUUAGACCGUAUAGGGAUCUCUUCAGAAAACACACAUAAUCAGGUUUUAACUUGUCUUUAAAACCUUUUGGUUGAUUCAUAAAGAUUUGUUCAUCAAGCUCUCCGUAUAAAAAAGCGAUUUUUACAUCGAGUUGUUCAAGUUCCUAGUCAAAGAGCGCAACCAAUGUGAGCAUGACCCUAAUAGUAGUAUACUUUACAACUGGUGAGAAAAUCUCGUUAUAAUCAACACCUUUUUUCUGUGUGUAAUCCUUCGCUACUAACCUAGCCUUAAAUCUUAAGGGUUCUGAACUACUAGUACCUUCCUUAACCUUAAAGACCCACUUGCAAUCAACGAUUGAUUUAUUCUUAUGUCUCGGUACUAACUCCCAAGUUUGAUUCUUUUCUAGAGAACUCAUCUCUUCUUUCAUAGCCUUAAGCCACUCCUUAGAUUGACCACUAUUCAUAGCCUCUUCAAAAGUUUCCGGCUCCCUAUCAACUAGUUCUUCGUAACUAGCGUAUGCAAAAUCCAAUUCAGAUUCAAACCCGAACCUCCUAGGUUCUCUCGUUUGUCUUCUCUCUCUAUCUCUAACUAAAUUAUAGUUAGCUAAUGGAUUUUCUUCCUCAGGAUGCUCUUCUAUCACUACUUCAUUUUCCUCUUCAGGUUCUUGGACGUGAAUCUCCACCUCACUCGAAAUACUAGGUACUGAUGUGUUAAAUUUUCCUAACUCCACCUUAAACCGAUUUCUUUCUUCACCUGAUUCAGUUUCACUUACAGGUUCGGUUUAGUUCCUUAGACAAGGCAUCUCACUCUCAUUAAAUGUGACAUCCCUACUCACGAUGAUCUUAACUCCUUUUUGGCUUCUAUCCCAUAACCUAUAGCCCUUAACCCCUUCGGGAUAUCCUAGAAAGACACAUUUCCUGGCUCUAGGUUUUAAUUUUCCCUUACUUUGAUGAGAGAAGGCAGCACAGCUAAAAGUUUUAAGCAUUGAGUAGUCACCCAAUUUUCCAGACCAUUUCCCAUGUGGAGUAUCACCAUUUAAUGCAGCCGAUGGAGUCAAAUUUAUCAGAUAACAGGCAGUUACAACGGCUUCACCCCAAAAUGACUUAGGAACCCCAGAACUUAACAUCAUGCAGCGCACUUUGUCUAGUAUGGUCCUAUUCAUUCUUUCUGCUACCCCGUUUUGCUGGGGAGUAUAGGGAACCGUUUUGUGCCUUGUUAUUCCACUUUCUUUACACAUCCUAUCGAAUUCAGCAUUACAGAAUUCUAGGUCGUUAUCUGUCCUUAAAAAUUUGAUCAUCUUGCUAGUUUGGUUUUCCAUUUGUUUCUUCCAAUUGUUAAAGUUAUGGAAGGUUUCAGUUUUGUCUUUCAAUAGAUAGACCCACACUUUCCUGGUGUAGUCAUCUAUGAUAGAUAGGAAAUACCUAUUCCCACCCGAUGUGAGAUUACUAACAGGACCCCACAGAUCAGAAUGCACAUAUUCAAGCAUGCUUUUAGCCUUAUGCGUACUAGUGGAGAACGACACUCUAUGGUACUUUCCGAGCACACAGUGAUCACAGAACGAUAGGUCAGACACACAGUCAUUACCAAAUGCACCUUUUGUUGGGAAUCUACUUAUACAUGCAUAGCGGAAUUUAAAAUAAUUUUCGAUUCCCACCAAGAAUCACCUUUGUGUUUAGAUAGAAAUUGUGAUAAGAUUGUACCUUUUCAGAUCUGCAAACUUCUUUGCUAUUCUUUUCGUUCCAGCAAUCCUGAUUCACCAUCCACAACUGUACAAUUGUCCAGCCUCCAACGGUAAUCCACACAGAGAACAAAAUUGCAGCUACUAGGGUUUUCUCUCUUGUGCCAGUAAGAAUAAUGAAAAUCAUAUGGACCUCAAACCCUAGCCAUGUAUUUAUAUAAACCCAAACGGGCUUGGCCCGGUCCGGUCCAAUAUUUAAUUAAUCCAAUUAAUUAAACUCGGCCCGUGAAUUAAUUAAUCCAAUUAAUUAAUUCGGGAAUAUAAAUAACAAAUUCAAUUAAUUAAUUUAUCCAACGAUUGUUAAAUUAACCAAUUGGCAAUUUGCAAUCUUCCAAUUCUCUUUUGUGUGCGACCCAUUAGGUUCCCGACCACGAUACCUAACGACGUGAAAUAUUAUUUUGAUCUAAUCAAAAUUGAUAAAUUAAAAUACCCUUUUAAUUUAUCGUCAAUUUACACUCGCUGUCCCUGAUUGACAUCUAGCAAUGUGUCAGGGCAAUAAAUGUGACGGGAAAUGUCACGUGGUAUGACAAAACCAAAUUCGUUCGUUUACCGUGAAACUAUAAUCAUUUCGUCAAUAUGAUCCGAUCAAUUACGAGAUAUGGAAUUGUGUCAAUCUCGAUCAUCGAUCAUAUCUUUCACUCCACUAUUAAGUCAAUAUAAGUCGAAAACUCAUUUUCGACUUAUGAGUACACCUUGGCCAAGGAUUUCAUCAUCGACUUAAUUGAAUGAAACGCAGAUCAUAAUCUCCUACUAUCUAAGAGUGACGAAUCCUUUAUUGAUCAAUCACAACCUUCAUACGACUCUUGACGUACCCGAACGAUGUCUUAUUAGCGGCCCUUUUUAGAGCAACAUCCAACAUCGCCAAAGUAUGACUCUCCUCAUAUAAGGUACCACGACGACCUCAAGUCAAAGGACCAAUUCCACUACCGAACGCUAGAGAUUAACCACUGACACUCAGAUAGUUAUCCGUGUGGAAUCUCUCGAUGGGUCUCCAAUAUUUUGUUUUAUAACAAAACAUCCACGUGUUCAUUUAAGUGUCACCACAUUUUAACUUGUGAGAUCAGCUACUUACUUCACAAGUAAGAAAUGCCACACGUGAUGGUCUAUCCGUAAUAAUGAUAUCCGUAUCUCGUUAUUACUUACGACCAUGGAUGAUUUAAGAUUCAAUCAGAUGCAAUUUGUAUCUCACAAUCACAACUCCUUGUGAUUAACAAAUUACGGAGGUUUGAAUCUUCGGACUCUAUUAUUUAUUUAAUUGUCUAUUAAUUAAAUAAUAGAUAUGCCAUAAAUUGAAUUAAUUAUAUAUAUAUAUCAAAAGCAUUUAUGCCCAAAGUUGAUUGGACCUAGGGCAUAAUACUUACAAACUCCCACUUGCACUAGAUCCAAUCACUUAUGUAUUCAAUAUCAUAAGUCUACAUGACGAUUAUGUUUAUGUUAUGACAACUCUUUGUCCGUGGAUCUGCAAUAUUGUUAAAUGUGGAAAUUUGUUCUUUUCUUUACUUUACGUCAUUUCUAUGUAUUAUCUCUCUGAUGAGAUUAUACCGCCUUAAUACAUGUUUGGACAUUGAUGAGACCUUAGUUCCUUUGCUUUCGCAAUGAUUCUAUUAUUAUCACAAUACAAUGACAUGUGAUCAACAAUAUCAACUACUCCAAGUUCAUUUAUGAACAUCAUGAUCCAGAUUGCAAUUUCUUGCUACUUCUAAAGUAAUCAUGUGUUAGGUUUCUACUACUAAAUCAACGGUUGCUUCAUGUUCGGAACCUUUCCAACACACCGUUUAAGAGUAAACCAAUUUCUCCAUGUAACAUCUUCUCAACAUUUUAUAUAGAUUGAAACGAGUCAAGCAACCCUCUAGAUUUAUCUCUAUAGAUCAAGUUGCUUUUCCAAUAUCGUUCGAGAAUAAAUCCUUUAACAACCAUUAUUUCAACGAUUGAAACAUAGGAAUGUCGUUUUAGGAAUACGAAAAUGCUCCCACUAUCUUCUUGUAAACAUACAAUUCAUUUUCAAAUUUGAUAAAAUCAAACACUUUGACUUUUCAUCAAAUCUAAGAUUUCAACUCCAAGAGACUUCUCUUAACUUAUAGUCACGGUAUGCAACUGUUGCAAACAAAACCCGAAUGGACUUAAGCAAGGCUAUAGGAGAAAUGUUUCACCAAGGUCAACAUUUAACCUUUGCUUUUAGCCUUGCUUUGUAUAUAUAGAUAUUCACAUCCAUAUCGACCUUUUCUUUUGUAAACUAUUUAACAAAAGCUUAUGAGCUUUAUUCCAUUAGGAGGCUUGACCAAGGUCCAAACCUUGUUCACUUGCGUCGAGUUUCAUCUCGAGUUUCAUGGCCUCUUGCUGUCUCUUUUAAGUCAACACUUGACUUUAUUUUGUUGCAACUAGCAGGUUUAUUGUCCUGGAUCACUAAUACCUGAUUAAUGAUCAUGGAUUUGCACAUUCUUGAAGGUCGAAUGAUCUUACUAGAUUUACAUAGAGCUGUCAUGUCCUCAGGAGUCUUUACUUCCUGAUCCAAAGUAUGUCCCAUAUCAGAUAUGAGAUCAAACUCGGAUUUAUCUACUUGGUUAACUAUAUCUGUGGACUCUUGAACUCUUUCAAAAUUCUAUUUUACUCCCACUGUCCUCUCUUAGAGUAAACAUUUUCUCUAAGAAGACGAUGUGUCGUGAGAUGAAAACUUUCUUCAUGAUAAUAGAAUUUAUAUUCAAAUCUCUCCUUUGAAUAUCGCACAAAUAUGUAUUUAUCGGAUUUAGUCUCAAACUUAUCCAAUUUAAGGCACUUCAAAUAAGCGUCAUGGCCCCAAACUUUCAUAUACGAUAAAUUGGGACUAGUGUCUCUCCAUAACUCGUAUGAAGUUCUGUUAACCAAUUUAGAUGGGACAUGAUUUAGCGUGUUGCACACUGCAAUUAAUGCAUGACUCCAAAACAAUUUUGGGAGAUUUGCAUGACUUGUUAUUAAUCGCAUUAUAUCUAAUAAUUAACGAUUCCUCCUUUUAGAUACACUACCUUAUUGCAGUAUAUAUGAAGGAGUCCACUGCAAGAGAAUCUCAUUCUCUCUUAAAUAAUCUAGAUGUUAUCUUUAAGAUACUCUCACUUGAUCGAAUUUUAAUGUGAAGGUAUCUUUACCUAUUUGUUUCUCUAAUUCUAAUUUGAAUCCCUUGAACUUUUCAAGAGUUUCAUGUUUGAUUUUUCAUCAAGCAUACUUGAUCAUUGAUGAAAUAAGAGAAACAUUACCUGACAUUGAUUGCCAUGAAUCCAUAUGCAUCACUAUGCAUUAGACCAGUAAUUAUGCUGACCUUUCAUCUUUUCAAGUAAAAGAAGAUUUGGUCAUUGUGCCAGACAUGCAUAAUUUGUACUUGUCAAAAUCAAUUAAUUCCAAGUAUACACCUUUAUGUAACUUUGGAAUUACAUUUAAUCUAAAUGACAAAGUCUAUCAUGCCAGAUUUUUGUAAUAAUUAGAUUAUAAUAUUUAUGCCUUAUAAUUUCUAUACUCAUUAUAGAAUCCUUAGUAUUAAAGAAUAUAAACGUCGUUUUGUAAUUUACCAUAGCCAUUAGUAUCUUAUUAAGAUAAACAAGAACAACUAUUGUCCUUAACAUUAAAAUAGUUCAUGUCCGAACAUGAAAUUCAUUUUAAUGUUCCAGCUAUGGUUGGUAUAAAAUGACAUUUCUCUAAUUCCAAUACUAAAACAAAAGGGCAAUGGCAAGAAGUAUAUUCAUACAGGCAAUGCAGCAACAUUUGCUCAUCUCCAAUGUGUAUGUCAACUUCUCCCUUUCGCAGUGGUCUACUUCUUUUAAGUUUCUCCAUAUUUGUAUAAAUAUGAGAUUUACAUCUGGUAUCAAAUACCUAAGAAACUCAUGAAAUAGACGUAAGUCACGCAAUAUUCCUUCCAAUGACCUUUCAUUCUAUAAUGAAACCAAGGGUCAUUAGAUUUGGUAUUUGUCCUUCGCUUAUACUGUCUUAACCAUAUUGGAUGCUUUCACAAAGCCCCUUUAGACUUCCUCUUAAUAUCUUUAGAGGAAUCAAUGGCUUGCCCACUACCAACUUUGAUAAAGGGGUCAACAGUCCUAAGCAUGUUAAGCAACUCAAUAUUUUUGCAUUCGAGCUUAUUCACGUUAAAUUCAUAAUUAGUUGUGAAUAGCUUUAGCUGACAGAGAUUACAAAACCAAGUCAUUACUUAGUUCAUGGUUUAUGAUUGAACACAGUUGAGACAUUUCUCAACGUCAAUCAUCUUCAGUGUCUAAGCAUCGAUUGAAGAUUACUUUGUCAUUUUGCACCGAUAUAGUUGUUUGGAAGUCUCAUAUCCUUCCACACAUGAUUAUUACCAUACAACUCUUUGUAAUGAAGAAUUAUGUGUUAACAUCUAUACUCUCAAGUCGCUUUUGUAACUCAGUGACUUAGUUGCAAGUAUCACAUACGUUGCAGUACUAAACUGCGUUUACUACAGUAGCCACCUCUUCUUUAAUUGAGUCAUCUGUAGGUAUUUCUGGAAAGGGCUACUCAAGGACGUGACCAAUUUUCUCAUGCAUAAGAACAAUUCUCAAAUUACAGUGUCAAUUAAGAAAAUAUAGUUUGGUUGUUGACAUCUAGUAUGUCAUUCAAAACAUAUGGUUACUCAGAUUCAAUAAAUAUAAAUGACGAAAAAGGAAAGAAUAAUAUAUAAAAUGCAUCAAUUAAUUUAACAUGGUCUUUUAUUAAAUUAAUUAUGCUCCCACUAUUUAAAUAAAAUUUAUCACCCUCUCACAUAAAUUUAUGGAGUCCAUGCUUGACUCCCAGUGGGUUGGGAUCCCAUCUAUUAUAUCAAGACCUUGAGUGUACUCAACAAGCCCUAAUAUAAUAUUUGGGUAGAUACUAUUAUCAAUUGUAUCUCCAUACAACUCCCAGAUCAUUAAGCUGACAACUCUUUGUUUUCACACAUCUUAUGUGUUAACUUAACAUGCCUCUAAAGUUUAUCUCUUUGAGUGUACUCAACAAAAGAUAAAUUUUAGUUAAGUCAAACCCAUCAUUCAGAAAUAUCAAAUAUUUCAUAGUGUCAAACAUAUCCCUAAUGGACCAGCCUUGAGUGUACUCAACAAGUUGAGACGAUUUGGGACUCUGAUUUUUCACUAUAAUGAUGGAAGGCGAGUACAAAUGUGACUUAAUAUUUUAUGGAGGGAUUUUGCAUUCAUGAGUCUCAUCAACAACAAUACAAUCAUAUAUAUAUUAUUAUUAUACAUCUACUAUACAAAUAAAUAUAUAUAUAACAUAAUAUAAUAGUAUGGACGAUAAUGGACUUUCACUAUCUAGUCUUCCCGAGCCAUAAUGAAGACUAGUUGGUCAAUUCCUAGGGAGUAUGGCAUUGAACAGUGUCAAUGCACCAUCUCCAUGGUCUCCACCUCUUCUUGUCUCUUCAAUUAGUCCAAUUCCAACAUGUAUCCUAUACUAGUUGGCACGCAGGCUUAAAUGAAAUUGGAUUCACAGGCCCAUAAUAACAAUAAUGAUAAUGGACUCGUAGGUCCAAAAUAAUAACAAUAAUAACGGGCUUGCAGGCCCAAAACAAUUAAGAGCUCGUAGGCCCAAAACAAUUAAGAGCUCACAGGCCCACAAAACGACAAGAAUUAAAAUUAACCAUUCAACAAAUCCAUAUGGUCGAGUCCACAAUCGUCCACUAAUAAUACAUUCAUCACAUAAAUGUAUACCUAUAUAAUAUUUAAUAUUAUAUGCAAAUAAGUUUCAAGUUUCUAGCAAUUAAGUCGUCUAAACUCUUUUAGACAAAUGGAUCGGAAUAAUUAAAUAAUUAAUUAAUCAUAUUAAUCGAUUAUUUAAUUAGCGGGAAUAUUUAAUUAAAAUCAAAUUUUAAUUAAAUAACAAAUUAGAGUCCAACUCUAAUUCAAAAAUUAUAUGGCGGGAUUAUUUAAUUAAAAUCAAAUCUUAAUUAAAUAUCAAAUUAGAAUCAAACUCUAAUUUCAAAAUGUAAGGCGGUUGAAUUUAAUUAAAAUCAAAUUUUAAUUAAAUGACAAAACUAGAGUCUAACUCUAAUUCCAAUAUUUAGGGCGAAUUAAUUUAAUUAAAAUCAAAAUUUUAAUUAAAUACCAAAUUAGAGUCCAACUCUAAUUUCAAGAAGAAAUUUAGGGCGGGAUAAUUUAAUUAAAAUCAAAUUUUAAUUAAAUGUCAAAUUAGAAUCGAAUUCUAAUUUCUAGAAUAUAUUCGGGGUGAAUAAUUAAUUAAAAUCUAAUUUUAAUUAAAUGCUAAAUUAGAGUCCAACUUUAAAUUAAAAUGAAUUAAUAUUUUAAUUUAGGAUAACAUUCCUAAAUAAAAUAAAAUUUAAUUGGGGUUAAAGUAUAAUAUUUAAGUUAAAAUCCAAUUUUAACGAAAAUAUAAAAUGUCAUCAAUUAAUAAAUAAGAAUUUUAAUUUGAGUCAAAAUUAAAAAUUUAGUCAAAAUAGGUCAAAACCCAUUUGAAAAACAAUUUAAAAACCAAUUCAAAAGCAUUUGGAAAUUGAAAUUUGACCCAAGUUAAAAUUUAUAAUCAAAGUCUCAAAAUUUCGAAAAUUUCAAAACCGACCCUCGCAAUUUCACAGAUUACAGAAAUAGGUCCUUAUUUGAAAAUUACUACUUUACCACCGAAGUGAAAUUACAAGUAAGGGUCUUCAAUAUCAAAUAAUUCAAAACGGUCCCUUACUUAAAUAACUUACAAAUUGACCCCAAAUGGAUAUUGCAAACGGGGGCUUGAAAUUUCACAAAUUGCAUCAGAAGCCCCCGCCUCCAAUUCCCAAAACCGACUGAAAACCUAAUUUUUUUUUGUUUCUCUUCAAUUCAUGGGGCGCCGCCCCUUCCCUUUCACGACAGGAAGUCGCGCCGGGCGACUUCCUAAAUCUGUAGCAGGUCACGACGCUGCUACAGUAAAUUGCAGCAACGCCGCGCGCUGCUGCUUCCUCCAGCAGGGGCGAGCAGCAGCACGAGGGGCACUACUGCUUCCUCCAGUAGCGGCGAGUAGCAGCACCUCGCUGCUGCUCGCUGCAAUCCAGCAGCGGCGCUCGCCGCUGCCCUAGACUGUGGCAGUGAGCGCCGCUGCCGCUCCUCGCCAGCGGUGGCAACGGUUGCCGCCGCCUCAACCGUCCCCCUUUCUUUCUUUUUUUUUUUGAAAUCUGAAUUCACAAAUUAUUCCAAUCCCAAAAUAAUUUUCAUUCAAAACCUGAUUUUGAACGUGAAAAAUUAUUUAUUUCCUUAAUCGCUAAAACAAGAAAAACAAUUAACAUUUAAUUGUUCCAAUAUGUAAAGCAACUUCUAACAAACACAAAGUAUGUUCUGAUACCACUGUUGGGAAUCUACUUAUAUAUACAAAGCGGAAUUUAAAAUAAUCUUCGAUUCUCACCAAGAAUCGCCUUUGUGUUUAGAUAGAAAUUGUGAUAAGAUUGUACCUUUUCAGAUCUGCAAACUUCUUUGCUAUUCUUUUCAUUCCAGCAAUCCUGAUUCGCCAUCCACAGCUGUCUAAUUGUCCAGCCUCCAACGGUAAUCCACACAGAGAACAAGAUUGCAGCUACUAGGGUUUUCUCUCUUGUGCCAGCAAAAAUAAUGAAAACCAUAUGGACCUUAAACCCUAGCCAUGUAUUUAUAUAAACCCAAACGGGCUCGGCCCGGUCCGGUCCAAUAUUUAAUUAAUCCAAUUAAUUAAACUCGGCCCGUGAAUUAAUUAAUCCAAUUAAUUAAUUCGGGAAUAUAAAUAACAAAUCCAAUUAAUUAAUUUAUCCAACGAUUGUUAAAUUAACCAAUUGGCAAUUUGCAAUCUUCCAAUUCUCUUUUGUGUACGACCCAUUAGGUUUCCGACCACGAUACGUGAAAUAUUAUUUUGAUCUAAUCAAAAUUGAUAAAUUAAAAUACCCUUUUAAUUUACCGUCAAUUUACACUCGCUGUCCCUGAUUGACAUUUAACAAUGUGUCAGGGCAAUACAUGUGACGAAAAAUGUCACGUGAUAUGACAAAACCAAAUUCGUUCGUUUACCGUGAAACUAUAAUCCCUUCGUCAAUAUGAUCCGAUCAAUUACGAGAUAUAAAAUUGUGUCAAUCUCGAUCAUCGAUCAUAUCUUUCACUCUACUAUUAAGUCAAUAUAAGUCGAAAACUCCUUUUCUACUUAUGAGUACACUUUGGCCAAGAAUUUCAUCAUCGACUUAAUUGAAUGAAACGCAGAUCAUAAUCUCCUACUAUCUAAGAGUGACGAAUCCUUUAUUGAUCAAUCACAACCUUCAUACGACUCUUGACGUACCCGAACGAUGUCAUAUUAGCGGCCCUUUUUAGAGCAACAUCCAACACCGCCAAAGUAUGACUCUCAUCAUAUAAGGUACCAUGACGACCUCAAGUCAAAGGACCAAUUCCACUACUGAACGCUAGAGAUUAACCACUGACACUCAGAUAGUUAUCCGUGUGGAAUCUCUCGACGGAUCUCCAAUGUUUUAUUCUAUAACAAAACAUCCACGUGUUCAUUUAAGUGUCACCACACUUUAACUUGUGAGAUCAGCUACUUACUUCACAAGUAAGAAAUGCCACACGUGAUGGUCUAUCCGUAAUAACGAUAUCCGUAUCUUGUUAUUACUUACGACCAUGGAUGAUUUAAGAUUCAAUCAGAUGUAAUUUGUAUCUCACAAUCACAACUCCUUGUGAUUAACAAAUUACGGAAGUUUGAAUCUUCAGACUCUAUUAUUUAUUUAAUUGUCUAUUAAUUAAAUAAUAGAUCUGCCAUAAAUUGCAUUAAUUAUAUAUAUAUAUAUAUAAAGCAUUUAUGCCCAAAGUUAAUUGGACCUAGGGCAUAAUACUUACACCUUUUUCAUUAAGUAGCUUAAGUCCCUUAAUGCCUACGUGUGCAAGCCUACUAUGCCACGUAUGUGUGUGAUCGAUUUUGGCGGAAGAAAUAGAGGAGUUUAAUCCUCUAAUUACUUCCCCAGUAGUGAUGUAAAUAUCAUUUUUCUUGAUUCCCUUAAUAGAGAUUAACGCACCCUUCAUCAUUUUAAACAUACCGUUUCCAAUUUUAACGGUGAAGUUGUCUUUCUCAAGUCUUCCUACUGAAAUCAAAUUCCUAGAUAAUUCAGGAAUGUAUCUAACUUCCUUUAACAUGUACACAAAGCCCGUGUUAAAUUUUAUCUUUAUAUCUCCAAUUCCAGCAAUUGUAUAGGCAAAGUUAUCACACAGAACUACUUGCACAUCAUUAGAUUCUUGCAAGUUUUCAAACCAGUUCUUUUCAGACGUCACAUGAAAAGACGUACCAGAAUCUAAUAUCCAUUCAUGCAUGUGAGAAUUAGUAGUUAGAUUCAAUUCAGUAGUGUAUGCGACUGGACUAGUGAUCAAAUAGAAUUCACCGUUUUCGGUAUCGGAGGUAGAGGAUAACAUAUUUACCUCAUCUCUUUCCUUAAUCUUUUGUUUUCCCCUUUCUUUAUGGCAGUCUUUUAUAAAAUGCCCUGUGCCUCCACAGCCAUAGCAUUUUCUAGCCUUAGUUCUAGACUUUGACCUAGGUCUACCAUUGCCCUUCUUUUUCCAACUAUUACUACUUAAUUCGCCACUACUUUGGUAUCCAUCAUGACUGGCUUGCCUAAAUUGAGUUCUACCCCGCAUCAUAUGCAACUCUCCACUCCUCCUAUCCUGUUUUUUCAGCCCUCAUUUCCAUCUCUUUACUCCUAAGAGAAUCUACGACAAUUUCAGGUGUUAAUGUGUCCCUACCAUACUUAAUGGCAUUCUUAACUUCUUUGUAAGAGUCCGGGAUUGAAUUGAGCAAGAUUAUAGCCUUAUAGGUCUCAGACACGGCUUCGUCACAAUUGACAAUAUCUUGCACCAAUUUGUUAAAUACAUCUAAAUUGUCGUCGAGAUCCUUUAAAGGAUCCAUCUUAAAGCUGAAGAAUCGUUCGAGUAGGUAGAGUUUAUUCGGUGUAGAUUUAAGCAAGUAUAAGUCUUCUAGUCUUUUCCAAAGUUCUUUGGUGGUUUUUAGUUUUCCCACUUUUCUUAAGACAGCGUCAGACAAGUGUAAUAUUAUUGAGGUAUAGGCAAGCUCAUCGGCUUCCUCUUUUUGUUCUUUUGAGAUAUCAGGUGCAAAAUUGCCUUCGAUGGCUUUUGACACCUUUUGUUGGACUAAUAUGCCUCUCAUCUUUUGUUGCCAGAUAGAGAAGUCUCCUUUACCGUUAAAUAUUCCCAAAUCAAAAUUAUGUGUUGUCAUUGGUUAACACACUAAUUAGACCAAACGAAGUAGUAUUGGGAAGCGUGAUAAGGUAAUAUCUUGUUAAUUCUUAGCAAAAGUAACAAUGAAUCUAAACGCUACGUCCACCAAGAAAUACCAAGCACUUAAAUCAAAAGAACAAGCACUCAAUUAACGCAAGUAAUCCUAGUUCUAGCACAAGCAAUGGUUACCCCUUCACGGUAACCCCAAAACCUGACGAUCACCCCACACGAUGAUCUUGCUAUUGCUGAAUUUAAAUGGAUUAAGCCAAUUUACCAGAGCGGACCUAUCUGAGUCCGUAGAGUAGAGAAAAACGAGCUUGCUGUUCAAUUGCAGUCAGUAUCGCACCAGGGGUAAAAUCGUCCAACUUUUUCUGUGUAACCUGAAAUACAAAACAAAGUAUAUCAGCGCGUUCAGGAGAUCGAAACAAGCAAGUUACCUGAAGAUAGCUUCGCUAGAAUGCCGCCCACACGCCGUCGCUGCCCACGCGCCACCUCACCAGGGGCGCCUCGACCUGCUGGUAAUGGGUAUGGCCUCCGUUUGUCCAGCCGAGUUUUGGUUUGUGAGUAAUUGAAGAAUUUCAGAUUCGGGUAAAAGGAUGAAAUCGCGAAAAUCAACCAAUUUUGAGCCGAUUUUUGCCAACCAAGCUCUGAUACCAGAUGUUAGGAUCUUCCUCAAGCUGCUCAAGAUAAUUUUCGGGCUCAGUUAACCUUUAAAACACCGAAUCAACACCAAAAUCGAAGGUACUCGCCGCCGACCUUACGAGUUCUACCUAUGGUUGCUUUUCUUCCUUCUGCUUGUUGUUUGCUCACUCACAAAGAAUGAAUACCACACAGGUAAGGGUCACAAAGACACAAGCAAGAGGUAGACAAGAUCAAGAAGUAGAAUGGACGAAGAAGAAGAAGACACGGCCUCUCCCUCUCUCGGGUUCUUUCACAAAAAUGGGACCUUAGAAGGCUACGAGAGUUACCAAUAUAUAUAGUAAACCAAUGACAAACAAUAAGGUAAGUUAUACAUAUGGUAAGUGGGCUCGACUAGGGUUUUGGCCCAAUAGCACACCAAUAAGCCACAAAGGUUUAUUAGCCAUCCAAUAGGUAAAACAACGUUAAGUCGGGUCAUCCCAUUAUUCGGUGUUGAUUUAUUGUUCAUUCAUUCAUGUCGACUGAUAAAACUGGUUUACAUCAUCGUCCGGGAGGUCGUUUGACAACAUGAUGUCUAACAAACAUGACUUUCCCAACGUAUUUGUGACAAAGGCUUAAGGGUAAGGCCAUUUACAUUAUCUUUAAAAAAUUUCUAUCUUUUAGUAGAUGAUGAAAACAAAGUGUAUAUAUAUUGCACCACUCCAGAAAAAGAUUUUGCUUUUGUAUAGCAAGUAAUCAUAUCACAAAGUACAAGAUUGAAACUAUGACACCCACACGGAGUGUAGAAUGCUCUAGGAUUUACUUGUAGUAGUCUAUUCUGUACCCUUUUAUGUUUUCUUUUCAUUUUAGCACUAUUAUAAUAUCCUUAACCCCUUAUAUUAUCAAUGUCAAGUUCUAGAUUAUUCAAUGAAUUCACUAGUCCAUCAAAAAGUCCCUUUCCUGAGGAGAAGUGUCGAUUAGCUGCAUCUUUUAGAAAAAUUACAUUAUUGUCUCAUACUGGACCUUUCAUUACAAUUAAGUCUCUUAAAUUUUGAUUCAUAUUUUUCCAAUUUGUUGGAUCACUAGUGUCAAGGGAAAAUGGUUCACUAUCCAAUUUAUCCUUUUCAUUAAUGUUUCUUUCAUCCAUAACAUCAUCCCCGAUAAAUACCUCUUCAUUCAUCAAACAAUGAUGUUUUUCAAUUGUAUUAUCACUGAUAUCGUUCUUAUUGGACUCUCUUUCAGUAACCACGCCUUCAUUAUGUUUUUGUUUACUGCCACUAAAAAAUUUAUCAAGGGCUCCCUCUUGAGAUUUAAUUAAUUGUUCAACUUUUUUAUUCGAUUUUCUUUUAGAAUAUACAGAUUCAAAUUUUCUAGUGGACAUAAUUACAAGCAACUAAAACGUUAAAACUUGAUUGAUGGGGUAAAAUUAAAAAUAUCCCAUAUUAUUAAAUAUUGCCAAGUGAAGGAAUUCAAUAAUCUACUUGCAAGAAAUAACCAAAUAACAUUUAGAAUUAGGGGUGAACGUUGUUUCAUUUGGUUCUGAUUCUAAGAGAACCGAAUUGAAAUAUGAACUAAUGGUUUUUCUGAUAAUGGAAUCGAAUGGUUUUUUUUAAGACGUGGAACCAAACCGAACUGAACCAUUCGGUUCUGAUUUGAUUUGGUUUGGUUUGGUUUGGUUUUGUCUGGUUUUAGUAGACUAGUACUAUUAUUUAAGUUUUCAGUCUUGCACAAUAUCUAUAAGUUAGUAAUAUGUACUUAAAUAAAAAAUAUAAGCAUCAAACAUUUAACAAGUUCAAAUUAUCAAUAAUCAAGGUUAUAAAAGUCCAAAUUAACAAAUAAAAUAUAAACGAAUGAGUCAUUGCCAAAAGUUAAUAGAAUCAAGCUACUCAACCCGCGUCGGUUAUUGUGUGGAUGACCGCACACUCAUAGUCGAGGCGUGGGCCCCCCAUGAAUAAAAUAAUCCUGACCCCUAUGUGUGUGUUGUGUCAACCGUGUGAUCAUCCUUGUGGGCAUUGUAGCUCGGUUGGGUUGAAGUUAAUAAUAUUGAGUUCAAUUUCAUCCUUUGUCCAAAUGUGGGAUGAUGUCCAUGUGCAAACAAGGAAAAGUGGCACUGUCUAAACGAGGAAUGGUGUGGGAUGAUGACGUCUGUGUGCAAACUGGGAAAAUUGGUGGUGGUACUACCUAUCUUCCUCUACCGUAGCACUGUGAAGGUGAGUUUUGAGAAAUUCAAAAAAUGAAGAAAUUCCAACAAAAGGGUUAGCUUUUGUUUAGAAAUUAUAUGUAUUUAUAAACAAACAAACAUCACUACCUCAGAAUUCAAAGUGUCCUCGGAGAUAAAUACAAUGAUGGAUUGGAAGGCGGCGUCGAUGACCAAGUGAGACGGUGAAUAUUGAGAGACAAAUUGGAAUUGGGAAUUUGGGUUUCUCUUAACCCUUUGGGCUGGACGGCUAUAGCUAUUAGAGAAAAAAAUUAAUGAGCUAGACACAUUUAAUUAGCUGUAAAAAAAAUAAUGGUUAUUGGACUAACUUCCAUUAAUAUAAAAUUAGAUUCAUAUAAAAAAUAAAAUUAUAAAUUAUGUUUGGUUUUUGGUUCUAGCAUUAGAACUGAACAGAAACUAGAACCAAAUGGUUCUCGGUUCAAAGAUCCAAAACCAUUAAUUUUUUUCGUAAAAUCGAACCGAACCACUCGGUUUGGUUUGCUUCCGAUUUGAUUUGGUUUGGUCUGGACAUUUUGUCCACCCCUAUUUAGAAUAGACUUGAGCAAUACCAACAUAAAUGAUGAGCUUGAGCAAUAAAAUCAAGCACGACAUUCAAAAGAAUCAAAGCCCUUGUUUGAGCCUCAUUCUUUGGGAAAAAUACAUUUUUCAACAUUGUUUUGACAUUAUUUCAAUCGUACAUUUUUCAAUAAAAUAAUCUUACAUUCAAAUUCAAUACUUUUUCUUAUUUUUUAACCAUACAUUUCCCAUCAAUACACUAUUCGAAAAUUCAUUAUUCCCAUAAAAAUGGGCUCAAACAAGGGCAAAACCUCCUUUCAAAUAAAUUAUUUUGCAGGUCAGUUUUCAUACAAAUUUAAAAAAAAAAAAAAAAAAAGGAAAAAAAAAAAAAAAAAAAAAAAAAAAAAAAAAAAAAAAAAAAAAAAAAAAAAAAAAAAGAAAAAAAUUAUAAGACACCCAAUGGUUAAUCAUUAAUGAAUUUCAUUAUUUCAAUAUUCUUCUAGACUCCAAGAAAGAUUCUACCAUUCUUUCUCUGUCUACAAACUUAGUGGUUUAAUGGUUUAACAACUUUAAGCCUUUAACUUAACUUUAAUCACAAGAAAACCAUAGACAAUCACAUAAAAAAUUCAAGAGAGUCAAGAAAAUCAUUGUUGAAUAAAAUGCAGAUUUUUAUCGACGAACAACAAAUUAGGAAAAUGAAGAGUUUCAACUGAUAAUGGUGAUCAGACUGAGGUCAUGUUAAUAUUAAAUCAUUCACAAAUAAAUACGAUAUUGGUGAUGAAGACAACUUAAGCUUGCAAAAAUCAAGGAUACACGACAAAAUUGGUGCCACAUAUCUCCAUGUUUCCAUCUCUAGAUACCCUCUAAAUGGCAAAUUUGGUAAUUUCUUCCUCACCUACAAUUUUCUACCCAUAAUCAUCAUUCUAAAAUCCAAAAAUCCAAGGAGAGAAUUCAGAAAGAGCUCUCUGGCGACUGCUAUUAAUUAAAUGAUUAUAUGAUAAACCAAUUAUAUUUAAUAGUUAAUACCUAAAAUCUAAAUAGAUGAGGCUGAUGAGCACUUGCGUAGGGCUGGAGUCUAGAGAUGUCGAGAAGAGCAGGACACCGACCGGAAAACAGAAAACUUUUGGGAGGACCAUUGACGUAGAAAACUUAUAGGAAAACAAAAAAGUUUUUGGAGAGGAGAUUUGGGAAUUCUAAAUUGAAGAAGACGACUUACCUUUUGAUUGAAUCGGCCUUCAAUUUCCUUCUCGUCCCUUCAAUUUCCUUCUCGUAGUGUCCGUUCAAUUUCCUUAAUGGCUUAAGUUUCUACUGGACUCAAACAUGGGCAGUUGGGAUAAUGGUAUUACUAUGAGUUUUGAGGUACUGAGCGUAAGCCUCAAUUUUUGAGGCCCUAGGCGAUUGCCUAGGGGGCUGCAAAUUGUGGAGAGAGAGGGGGAGAUAAUAGAAGACAAAAAAAUAAAAUAAAAUAAAUCAAUUUGAAAUGAAAAACAUAUUUUUUCUAUGAAUUUUUCAGAAUUGUACUUUUCAAUUUUUUUAACAAAAAGCCAUGUGCAGCCUAAUCUCCCCCAUGUAGAAUGGGGCUGAUCAAUUUGAGGAAACCAGUUCUCAAAGAACUAGUAACCUCAAAAUACAAAAACUAUGUUUGCAAAAUAUUUCAGUUAAGAUUUCGACUUUUUUUUUUUUUGAACAAAAGUGUUAUAAUUUUUCUAACAAGUUACACAUGUAUAACAUUGUGUUACGUACAUGUAAGGAGAAUUUAUUGUAUUAUGCACGUGUAACAUAUUGUGUUACGUUGUAACAUGUUAAAUAAAUUAUUCCUAUUGUUUCUAUCACUAUCACUAACGAAGUCAAAAUCACUCUCACUGUCGCUGAAUCUUGUUUCCACCACUAUAAUUAUCGAGAACGUCGAUCUACACUGCCAACACCAUCGUGCCCACCUAUAUGUAUCAUCACCAACACCACCACCACCACCACCACCACCGACAACCAUCUUCACCGUCAUUCUCACUACCAUGAAAACAAAGGAAUCGUCACACUGUCUCACACACCAUAAACAACUACCACAAAAGGGUAAUCAUUGCCACUAGUCAUCACCACUACCAACAUUAAUGCACCAACAUCGGGAAAAGAGUAGCUGGUGAGGUCAGGAUGGUUCACCUACAUCAUCAUAACAUUUGUCAAAGUAAACUUCUUCUUCGUUGGUGCUCUAGUAUGUUCACAAUGUAUGUGUUUACGUAUGUUUCAUAGAGAAAUACAUAUUAUUAAAAUAAAAAUGCUAGGUUAAGGUAAAAAAUGAGAAUGAUACCAAAAAAAAAGAGUGUCAACGUAAUUUCCACAUUAAAGAAUCAUCUCUGGUUAGAAAAUAGAAAUGCUUGUAGCAGAUAAUCCUAAAGACCAAUAUCUCAUACUAAUUAUCUUACUCUUAAACAUGUUUCACUAAGCUUAAUAAAAAUCGAAUAUAAUCAACCUUUUACUUUUAAACACGAACCAAAAUACAAGGGAAUAAGAAAGUUGUCAAUGUAUAUACCAUGUGCUUUCGCCAUUCCCAUUUAGUUUUCACUUCUCUAGUUGUAGCAAUCAAAUAAACACAAAUUAUAAUAAAUAAAUAUAUAAAAUCCUCUAGUCAAUGUGGUGGUUGUCAAUGAAAUUACCUAGCACCAUCCUCCUUCAAUAUCUGUCCAUUCAAAUUCGUUGAAGCAACCGCGUCCCCUUAUAUCUUAAUCCAAUUUACUCGUUUGAACCCACAAAAUCACACUCUUUCCGCGUCCUAUUUCUGCUACACUACGGCGCCGUAUCUUAGCAAUUCAACCUUUCCCAUUCCAACACAAUCACGCCACUUCUCUAUAUAUACACUUCUUCUUAACCCACUUGUUCUCUCAUCAUCAUACCCACAAAUCUUAGUCAUUAUCCAAAUUAUUUUUCAGUACCAUGGGAGAGACCAGACAGCCACAGCUUAACGGAGCCUAUUACGGCCCUUCAAUUCCGCCGCCGUCCAAGUCUUACCACCGCCCAGGCCGCGGCGGUGGCGGCUGCUGCUGCAACCCCUUCAGCUGCUGCUGUAGUUGCAUAGCGAAUUGUAUUUGUACCUGCUUAUGCCAAAUCAUUUUCACUAUUCUCAUUAUUGUUGGCAUAAUUGUUUUGGUACUCUGGCUUAUUUUCCGCCCCAACACCGUCAAAUUCUACGCCAAUGAUGCCUCUCUGACGGAAUUCAAUUACAAUAACAACACGCUGCACUACAACUUGGCGCUCAAUUUGACGAUCAGAAACCCUAACAGGCGAAUUGGAAUUUACUAUGAUCGGAUCGAGGCAA